rnacentral:rRNA from 1 species
AAUGAACGUUGGCGGCGUGGAUUAGGCAUGCAAGUCGUGCGGCAGCAGGCCCCGCAAGGGGUGCUGGCGAGCGGCGAAAGGGUCAGUAACACGUGGAUAACCUACCCCCAGGCCCGGAAUAGCGGCGGGAAACUGCCGGUAAUGCCGGAUAAUGUCCCUGGACCAAAGGUGUGAUUCCGUCCGAGGAUGGGUCCGCGUCCUAUUAGCUAGUUGGUGAGGUAAUGGCCCACCAAGGCAAAGAUGGGUAGGGGGUGUGAGAGCAUGACCCCCGACACUGGGACUGAGACACUGCCCAGACACCUACGGGUGGCUGCAGUCGAGAAUCUUCGGCAAUGGGCGCAAGCCUGACCGAGCGACGCCGCGUGCGGGAUGAAGGCCUUCGGGUUGUAAACCGCUGUCAGAGGGGCGGAAAUUUAUUGGAGUUCUCUCCAGUAAUUGACUUAACCUCAGAGGAAGCAUGGGCUAAGUUCGUGCCAGCCGCCGCAGUAACAC